UACGGAGGGUGCAAGCGUUAUCCGGAUUCACUGGGUUUAAAGGGUGCGUAGGUGGGCAGGUAAGUCAGUGGUGAAAUCUCCGGGCUUAACCCGGAAACUGCCAUUGAUACUAUCUGUCUUGAAUACCGUGGAGGUGAGCGGAAUAUGUCAUGUAGCGGUGAAAUGCUUAGAUAUGACAUAGAACACCAAUUGCGAAGGCAGCUCACUAACACGAAUAUUGACACUGAGGCACGAAAGCGUGGGGAUCAAACAGGAAUUAGAAACCCGGGGUAGGUCCAAGACCGAAGUACCUC
rnacentral:rRNA from 1 species